UACAGAGGUCUCAAGCGUUGUUCGGAUUCAUUGGGCGUAAAGGGUGCGUAGGUGGCGGGGUAAGUCAGGUGUGAAAUUUCGGAGCUUAACUCCGAAACUGCAUUUGAUACUGCCUUGCUUGAGGACUGGAGAGGAGACUGGAAUUCACGGUGUAGCAGUGAAAUGCGUAGAUAUCGUGAGGAAGACCAGUGGCGAAGGCGGGUCUCUGGACAGUUCCUGGACAC
rnacentral:rRNA from 1 species